AGCGGCGAACGGGUGAGGAAUACAUGGGUAACCUACCCUCGAGUGGGGAAUAACUAGCCGAAAGGUUAGCUAAUACCGCAUACGACUCUCGGUCUGCGGAUCGAGAGGGAAAGCGAUACCGUGGGUAUCGCGCUCAUGGAUGGGCUCAUGUCCUAUCAGCUUGUUGGUGAGGUAAUGGCUCACCAAGGCUUCGACGGGUAGCUGGUCUGAGAGGACGAUCAGCCACACUGGCACUGCGACACGGGCCAGACUCCUACGGGAGGCAGCAGUAAGGAAUAUUGCGCAAUGGGCGACAGCCUGACGCAGCGACGCCGCGUGGGGGAUGAAGGUCUUCGGAUUGUAAACCCCUUUCGGCAGGGAAGAUGGAACGGGCAACCGUUCGGACGGUACCUGCAGAAGCAGCCACGGCUAACUUCGUGCCAGCAGCCGCGGUAAUACGAAGGUGGCAAGCGUUGUUCGGAUUUACUGGGCGUACAGGGAGCGUAGGCGGUUGGGUAAGCCCUCCGUGAAAUCUCCGGGCCUAACCCGGAAAGUGCGGAGGGGACUGCUCGGCUAGAGGAUGGGAGAGGAGCGCGGAAUUCCCGGUGUAGCGGUGAAAUGCGUAGAGAUCGGGAGGAAGACCGGUGGCGAAGGCGGCGCUCUGGAACAUUUCUGACGCUGAGGCUCGAAAGCGUGGGGAGCAAACAGGAUUAGAUACCCUGGUAGUCCACGCCUUAAACUAUGAAUACUAAG
rnacentral:rRNA from 1 species